UGUGGGAGGGGGCUUGCCCCCGAUAGCGGUGUAUCAGUUUCUGAUGCGCUGACUGAGACACUGCCAUCGGGGGCAAGCCCCCUCCCACA
rnacentral:misc_RNA from 1 species